AACGAUGAAGCUUCUAGCUUGCUAGAAGUGGAUUAGUGGCGCACGGGUGAGUAAUGCAUAGGUUAUGUGCCCCAUAGUCUGGGAUAGCCACUAGAAAUGGUGAUUAAUACUGGAUACUCCCUACGGGGGAAAGUUUUUCGCUAUGGGAUCAGCCUAUGUCCUAUCAGCUUGUUGGUGAGGUAAUGGCUCACCAAGGCUAUGACGGGUAUCCGGCCUGAGAGGGUGAUCGGACACACUGGAACUGAGACACGGUCCAGACUCCUACGGGAGGCAGCAGUAGGGAAUAUUGCUCAAUGGGCGAAAGCCUGAAGCAGCAACGCCGCGUGGAGGAUGAAGGUUUUAGGAUUGUAAACUCCUUUUGUUUGAGAAGAUUAUGACGGUAUCUAACGAAUAAGCAC
rnacentral:rRNA from 1 species